rnacentral:rRNA from 1 species
AGUGAACGCUGGCGGCAGGCCUAACACAUGCAAGUCGAACGAACUCUUCGGAGUUAGUGGCGGACGGGUGAGUAACACGUGGGAACGUGCCUUUUGGUUCGGAAUAACUCAGGGAAACUUGUGCUAAUACCGAAUGUGCCCUUCGGGGGAAAGAUUUAUCGCCAUUAGAGCGGCCCGCGUCUGAUUAGCUAGUUGGUGAGGUAACGGCUCACCAAGGCGACGAUCAGUAGCUGGUCUGAGAGGAUGACCAGCCACACUGGGACUGAGACACGGCCCAGACUCCUACGGGAGGCAGCAGUGGGGAAUCUUGCGCAAUGGGCGAGAGCCUGACGCAGCCAUGCCGCGUGAAUGAUGAAGGUCUUAGGAUUGUAAAAUUCUUUCACCGGGGACGAUAAUGACGGUACCCGGAGAAGAAGCCCCGGCUAACUUCGUG